UACGUAGGGUGCGAGCGUUAAUCGGAAUUACUGGGCGUAAAGCGUGCGCAGGCGGUUUGUUAAGUCAGAUGUGAAAGCCCCGGGCUCAACCUGGGAACUGCAUUUGAAACUGGCGGGCUUGAGUGUGGCAGAGGGGGGUGGAAUUCCGCGUGUAGCGGUGGAAUGCGUAGAGAUCCGGAAGAACACCGGUGGCGAAGGCGGCCUGCUGGGCAGUUGCUGACACUGAGGCACGAAAGCGUGGGGAGCAAACAGG
rnacentral:rRNA from 1 species